rnacentral:pre_miRNA from 14 species
UGUCCUGUGCUGCCCUCCCUGGUGUGAGCGUAUGUGCCUUUGGACUACAUCGUGGACGCAGCACCAUGCAGUCCACGGGCAUAUACACUUGCCUCAAGGUCUAUGUCAUCGAGGACC